CCUACGGGAGGCAGCAGUGAGGAAUAUUGGUCAAUGGACGAGAGUCUGAACCAGCCAAGUAGCGUGAAGGAUGACUGCCCUAUGGGUUGUAAACUUCUUUUAUAUGGGAAUAAAAUGUUCCACGUGUGGGAUUUUGUAUGUACCAUAUGAAUAAGGAUCGGCUAACUCCGUUCCAGCAGCCGCGGUAAUACGGAGGAUCCGAGCGUUAUCCGGAUUUAUUGGGUUUAAAGGGAGCGUAGGUGGAUUGUUAAGUCAGUUGUGAAAGUUUGCGGCUCAACCGUAAAAUUGCAGUUGAAACUGGCAGUCUUGAGUAGAGUAGAGGUGGGCGGAAUUCGUGGUGUAGCGGUGAAAUGCUUAGAUAUCACGAAGAACUCCGAUUGCGAAGGCAGUUCACUGGACUGCAACUGACACUGAGGCUCGAAAGUGUGGGUAUCAAACAGGAUUAGAUACCCUUGUAGUC
rnacentral:rRNA from 1 species